CGCUCAGGGGCAGCCGGCAUUGUCAUAGCGCCACCUGGCGCCCGGCGGUGCUGCGAGCACAGAACCCCGCCGCCUGCGGGACCCAGGGGCGGGGAAGGGGACCCGCUCCAGUCCGAGCGAGGCUGCGGGAGGAGGGAGCGGGGCUGGGUCUGACCCUGGAGGGCAUCUGGGAGAAGCUGAUACUCAAUGAAUUCAAAAUAUGGAUCCUCUUCUCCCAGCCUCUGCUGCAUUCUCCAUUAUCUGUGGCUCAUUCAGCAGCCAGUAUAAAAAGCCAGGAGGCGUACCACAAUCUAAGUCAACUCAGGAGAGGAAUGCUUCCUGCACAUUUUUACUGGUUUAAAAAUGUUUUCUUCUCCCUUUUUACUGAAUGAAAGACCUACACAAACAGAGGAAACAGACUGGCUGUACCCAAGUGCUGUCAAAUACACCAAUUAAACAGGAAAAAAGAGGAAAAUAUAUUUUCUCUUUCACUUACA